GAUGAACGCUAGCGGCAGGCUUAACACAUGCAAGUCGAGGGGCAGCACAGGUAGCAAUACUGGGUGGCGACCGGCGCACGGGUGCGUAACGCGUAUACAAUUUACCUUUUACUAGGGGAUAGCCCAGAGAAAUUUGGAUUAAUACCCUAUAGUAUUAUCGGAUCGCAUGGUUUGGUAAUUAAAGUUUCGGCGGUAAGAGAUGAGUAUGCGUCCUAUUAGCUAGAUGGUAAGGUAACGGCUUACCAUGGCUAUGAUAGGUAGGGGGUCCUGGAGAGGGAGACUCCCCACACGUGGUACUGAGACGACGGACCAGACUCCGUACGGGAGGCAG
rnacentral:rRNA from 1 species